rnacentral:ncRNA from 1 species
GACCGACUUGUAUGCACGGUGCCUACAAGGACACUUGUACGACUCACACCGUUGAGUGCAUUCGUUUCGUACUUCAGCAUACAGCAUACAGCAUACAGCAUACAGCAUACAGCAUACAGCAUACAGCAUACAGCAUACAGCAUACAGCAUACAGCAUACAGCAUACAGCAUACAGCAUACAGCAUACAGCAUACAGCAUACAGCAUACAGCGAGGUUGGAUCCCGUCCCGUCGGGGCGGGCGCACUACCGGCCGAUCUUCUCCGCCCUGUCGGCGAGGUCGAGCGAGAGCGUGCAAGUCGGGACCCGAAAGAUGGUGAACUAUGCCUGAGGAGGUUGAAGCCAGAGGAAACUCUGGUGGAGGACCGUAGCGAUUCUGACGUGCAAAUCGAUCGUCAAAUUUGGGUAUAGGGGCGAAAGACUAAUCGAACCGUCUAGUAGCUGGUUCCCUUCGAAGUUUCCCUCAGGAUAGCUGGCGCUCUGUCGCAGUUUUAUCUGGUAAAGCGAAUGAUUAGAGGUCUUGGGGGCGAAACGCCCCUCACCUAUUCUCAAACUUUAAAUUGGUAAGAAGCCCGACUCGCUCGUUUGGAGCCGGGCAUGGAAUGCGAGUGCCAAGUGGGCCACUCUUGGUAAGCAGGACUGGCGAUGCGGGAUGAACCGA